AAUCACUUGUCUUUUAAAUGAAGACCCGUAUGAAAGGCAUCACGAGAGUUCAACUGUCUCUAUUUUCUAAUCAAUGAAAUUGAUCUACCCGUGCAGAAGCGAGUAUAACCACAUUAGACGAGAAGACCCUAUGGAGCUUCAAACACAUAAAUUAAUUAUGUAAAUUAACCACUCUACGGAUAUAAACAGAAAUACAAUACUUUUAAUUUAGCUGUUUUUGGUUGGGGUGACCAAGGGGAAAAAUUAAUCCCCCUUAUCGACCGAGUACUCUCAAGUACUUAAAAAUUAGAACCACAAUUCUAAUUAAUAAAACAUUUAUCGAAAAAUGAUCCAGGAAUUCCUGAUCAAUGAACCAAGUUACCCUAGGGAUAACAGCGCAAUCCUUUCUUAGAGUCCCUAUCGACGAAAGGGUUUACGACCUCGAUGUUGGAUCAGGACAUCCUAAUGAUGCAGCCGUUAUUAAGGGUUCGUUUGUUCAACGAUUAACAGUCCUACGUGAUCUGAGUUCAG
rnacentral:rRNA from 1 species